rnacentral:rRNA from 1 species
GACGAACGCUGGCGGCGUGCCUAAUACAUGCAAGUAGAACGCACAGUUUAUACCGUAGCUUGCUACACCAUAGACUGUGAGUUGCGAACGGGUGAGUAACGCGUAGGUAACCUGCCUGGUAGCGGGGGAUAACUAUUGGAAACGAUAGCUAAUACCGCAUAAUAUUAAUUAUUGCAUGAUAAUUAAUUGAAAGGUGCAAUUGCACCACUACCAGAUGGACCUGCGUUGUAUUAGCUAGUAGGUGAGGUAACGGCUCACCUAGGCGACGAUACAUAGCCGACCUGAGAGGGUGAUCGGCCACACUGGGACUGAGACACGGCCCAGACUCCACGGGAGGCAGCAGUAGGGAAUCUUCGGCAAUGGACGAAAGUCUGACCGAGCAACGCCGCGUGAGUGAAGAAGGUUUUCGGAUCGUAAAGCUCUGUUGUAAGAGAAGAACGGGUGUGAGAGUGGAAAGUUCACACUGUGACGGCAGCUUACCAGAAAGGGACGGCUAACUACGUG